GCCUGGGUGGCUCAGUCGGUUAAGCGUCUGACUUCGGCUCAGGUCAUGAUCUCACGAUUCGUGAGUUCUAUCCCCACAUUGGGCU
rnacentral:tRNA from 1 species